UAUAGAAGUUGCAAAACUCUCUAAACCAUUGUGAAUUCUACUGUCGAACAAGUUGCUUCGGCGGGCGGUCCCGGGGAGGGACCGUAGCCCGCGAGGGCGCCCGCCGGAGGACCCAAACCUCUGAAUUUUGAAGUCUCUCUGAGCUAAAAACAAAUGAAUCAAAACUUUCAACAACGGAUCUCUUGGUUCGGGCAUCGAUGAAGAACGCAGCGAAAUGCGAUAAGUAAUGUGAAUUGCAGAACUCAGCGAAUCAUCGAAUCUUUGAACGCACAUUGCGCCCGGGAGUAUUCUCCCGGGCAUGCCUGUUCGAGCGUCAUUUCAACCCUCGCGCCCCGCGCGGUGUUGGGGCCCUGCGGCUGCCGCAGGCCCUGAAAUUCAGUGGCGGGCUCGCCAGGACUCCCAGCGCAGUAGCUUAACCUCGCUGUGGAUUACUGGUUGGUUCCAGCCGUGAAACACUUCUUUUACAAGGUUGACCUCGGAUCAGGUAGGAAUACCCGCUGAACUUAAGCAUAUCAAUAAGCGGAGGAAAAGAAACCAACAGGGAUUGCCCUAGUAACGGCGAGUGAAGCGGCAACAGCUCAAAUUUGAAAUCUGGCUUCGGCCCGAGUUGUAAUUUGCAGAGGAAGUUUCUGGCAAGGUGCCUUCUGAGUCCACU
rnacentral:rRNA from 1 species